GUUCGUUCAAAACAAAGCAGCUGUAUACGGUACCUCCGUGUUAUCAAUAUUAUCACAAGUAACUCAUUGUAAUGAUUUAUUGCAGAUGCUAAGUGGUUACUAUUAUGGCGUCAAGACUGAAGAUAGAACUGCACAUCAGGAUAAACCAACAUGAAGACCAGAGAGCUGUCUAUAGGAGGAAAAACAAACCAUUUUGAAGCUGAGAAACGAGGAAAAAAUCAGAGCCAUUGCACACACAUUGGGCAACAAUUUAGAAUGUCAUGAAAAAUAUAUAAACCACUAGAUUACUGACAACCAGAUCUCAAACAGGUCGGCCAAGGAAAAGAACAGCAGUUGACAGAAACAUUGUGAGAGCAUUGAAGAAAAGCAUAA
ensembl:lncRNA